rnacentral:rRNA from 1 species
UACGUAGGGUGCAAGCGUUGUCCGGAAUUAUUGGGCGUAAAGAGCUCGUAGGCGGUUUGUCGCGUCGAAUGUGAAAACCCGGGGCUCAACCCCGGGCCUGCAUUCGAUACGGGCAGACUAGAGUUCGGUAGGGGAGUCUGGAAUUCCUGGUGUAGCGGCGAAAUGCGCAGAUAUCAGGAGGAACACCGGUGGCGAAGGCGGGACUCUGGGCCGAUACUGACGCUGAGGAGCGAAAGCGUGGGGAGCAAACAGG